UAACUGAAAACUCAAAGGCAUCCA
rnacentral:sRNA from 1 species